UGUAUUUUUUUUUUUGUAGAAACAAGGAAUGUGGAGCUAAUGCAUGCUGCUAAGGAUGGAAAGGUCUUGUGUUUAUUGGUUGUGCCUGAGACACCAGUCACAGUUGUACCUUAUUUCCAUUUUAGGGAGUCUAUAUACAUUUGAGGUGAGCGGCAGAUUUAAUUUUGAAGAUGGAUGACUUUCAGAUGUUGUGAUGAAGAUUGUUGAAAGGGAUUAUCAACAUAAAACCAAUCCAUAUGAAUGGGCAAGUCAGAAACAAGGAAUGUGGAGCUAGUGCGUGCUGCUAAGGAUGGAAAGUACUUGUGUUUAGUGGUUGUGCCUGAGACACCAGUCACAGUUGUACCUUAUUUCCAUUUUAGGGAGUCUAUAUACAUUUGAGGUGAGCGGCAGAUUUAAUUUUGAAGAUGGGUGACUUUCAGAUGUUGUGAUGAAGAUUGUUGAAUGGGAUUAUCAACAUAGAACCAAUCCAUUAGAAUGGCAAGUCAGGACUUGUACAACACCUGAGUACCUAGAUGACUGUUGAACUCAUUGGUGAACAAGAAAAGAUGUCAGAGAGGGGAAUCCAAUACAGAUGCCAUGAUCAAGAACAUAUACUCAUUAAUGAUAUGAUCAAGAAUAUGUAAACUUGUAACGAUUUAAAAUAUCUUAUCCGUAAAUCACUCUUCAUUACUUAAUUGUUCACACAUGAUCAUCUACACUUAUGAUAUACAUGUAAAUCUUAUCUAUAUAUUAAUCGCCCUCUCUUAUCUAACCCCCUGCUGAUCUAAUGACCUGUGUAUUGACUCCUGAUCUUAAGGAUCUUGUAAUGUGCUCCUGAUUGUCAGGAGCGGAUCUUGAGUAUAUAUAUAGUGCGACAGAAAUUUAGAAUAAGAUAGGAAGAUGGAAAUAUAGAAGACUUAGUAGAUAGAACUGUUAGAGAUAGAUAAAGUUACUCACUUACUUGGACUAUUACCUAAUAUUUCUUGGAUUUGUAUGUACAUGUGAUUGUUUUACUUGGAUUUUAUUUUUUGCGAAUUUUUUUUUCCUGAAUGUUUCUAUUUGUGAUGUGCUGUGUAAGUAAACGGUAGACUAGAAUUUCGGCAUCUAUUUUCAAGAUAUUAGAAACAAGGAUAAAUUGAUUUAUUCAUGCAAACUGACAUUAUGAAAUAUGUUGUAAGACCGCUCGGUUGGAUGUCCUGAUCAAGAAUAUACACUGUUAUCGAUGAUUUGAUCAAGAAUAUGUAAACUAAGAAAUAUCUUGGAGAUUUAUAGAUGAACAUGCAAGCAUUCAUGAUUCUGAAUGUUAUUCAGCCAGAGAGUUUUUGCACAAAUUUAAUUUUCAGUAUAGUAAUUUAAACUGGAUGUGUAAUUUUCAUUACAGUUAUGUAAAAUGAAUAUGUUACUUGUUAUGAUUUUCAAUUUCUCAACAGGACGUAAUUGUAGUUUGUUUAUACGAUCACUCUUGCAGAACAAAACACACAGAACUUUUUUUCUCUGUGUGCAUCAUACACUUGUAAACGUUUUACACCACCAUGUUUACAU